UGGGGAAUUUUGGACAAUGGGCGCAAGCCUGAUCCAGCAAUGCCGCGUGCAGGAUGAAGGCCUUCGGGUUGUAAACUGCUUUUGUACGGAGCGAAAAGGUCUGCCCUAAUACGGUGGGCUCAUGACGGUACCGUAAGAAUAAGCACCGGCUAACUACGUGCCAGCAGCCGCGGUAAUACGUAGGGUGCGAGCGUUAAUCGGAAUUACUGGGCGUAAAGCGUGCGCAGGCGGUUAUAUAAGACAGAGGUGAAAUCCCCGGGCUCAACCUGGGAACUGCCUUUGUGACUGCAUAGCUAGAGUACGGUAGAGGGGGAUGGAAUUUCGCGUGUAGCAGUGAAAUGCGUAGAUAUGCGGAGGGACACCGAUGGCGAAGGCAAUCCCCUGGACCUGUACUGACGCUCAUGCACGAAAGCGUGGGGAGCAAACA
rnacentral:rRNA from 1 species